GGAAACAAUUCUUCUGGUCAGUUGGAUGUAGUUGGCACCUCUUGAACUUUUCCCUUGUCUUUGGACAGCUCACACAUGUUGCCUGUUUGUGCAGUGACGAGAGAAAACGGCGAGGAGGGUGGAGAGUGAGUGAAUGAAGCAACAUUCCUGGUGACUCAUGGGCAUUUACAGAAUACUAUCAGCGAUCAAAGCAAAACCAAGUCAAGCAAGGCUC
rnacentral:lncRNA from 1 species